UACGUAGGUGGCAAGCGUUGUCCGGAUUUACUGGGCGUAAAGAGCGCGCAGGCGGUCGUUCAAGUCGCGUGUGAAAGCCCCCGGCUCAACUGGGGAGGGUCACGCGAUACUGAUUGACUCGAAGGCAGGAGAGGGAAGUGGAAUUCCCGGUGUAGUGGUGAAAUGCGUAGAUAUCGGGAGGAACACCAGUGGCGAAGGCGACUUCCUGGCCUGUUCUUGACGCUGAGGCGCGAAGGCGUGGGUAGCAAACGGG
rnacentral:rRNA from 1 species